UAUGGGAACGAAGGGUGUAUGGUGGAUGCCUUGGCUUCAAGAAGCGAUGAAGGACGUGAUAUGGCUGCGAUAAGUUUCGGGGAGGUGCCAAAUAACCUUUGAUCCGGAAAUGUCCGAAUGGGGAAACCCCACUGUCAUCGGCAGUGACCCUUGUAUGAGGGAGCGUACCUAGGGAAGUGAAACAUCUCAGUACCUAGAGGAAUAGAAAGCAAUAUACGGAAAUUUCUUUCUGGACAGAUGCAUUGCAUCUCGUUCAGGGACUAGUUCCUGAACGGAUGGUUUGCGCCAUUAUGUUCAGGAAGAAGUUUCUUGCGAUCCCCUGAGUAGCGGCGAGCGAAACGGGGACAGCCCAAACCGAACAUAUUUAUAUGUUCGGGGUUGUAGGGCGGAAUUAGCAUUUAGUUGCGAAGAGUUACAAAUCAGAUAUAUAGAAAAACACGUUGGGAAGCGUGACCCCAGUAGGUAAUAGUCCUGUAUUCGAAAUGUAUCCGACUCUUUUAGUUCCGUUCCUGAGUAACCCGAGACAUGAAUAGCUCGGGCGAACCCACCAGUACUAACUGGUAAGGCUAAAUAUUCUUGGAGACCGAUAGUGAACAAGUACCGUGAGGGAAAGGUGAAAAGAACCCCGGAGAGGGGAGUGAAAUAGAUCUGAAACCAUACAUCUACAAGGAGUCGGAGCCUUUCGGGGCGACGGCGUGCCUAUUGAAGAAUGAGCCGGCGAGUGUACCUUUAUCCUUUGUCUAAGUGGCAACCCCACGGAGGCGUAGUGAAAGCGAGCGUGAAUAGCGCGAAUAUAGGGUAGGGGUACGACCCGAAGCGGGAUGAGCUUGCCAUGAGCAGGGUGAAGCGACUGUAAUAGGUCGUGGAGGCCCGAACCGGUUGGCCGUACAAAACCAUCGGAUGACUUGUGGUAAGGAGUGAAAAGCUUAUCGAAUUCCGUAAUAGCUGGUUCUCUCCGAAACAGCUUUUGGGUUGGCGUCGCGUGGUCCCUCUGGGGGUAGAGCACUGGAAAAAAAGAACAGGGUGAAAACUCGUCUUUUUUAUCAAACUCCGAAUACCAGUAGGUUAUAGCGCGGCAGUUAGACUAUGGGGGCGAAGCUCCAUUGGUCGAAAGGGAAACAGCCCAGAUCGCCAGUUAAGGUCCCUAAAUAUAUACUCAGUGCAAAGUGAGGAGGUGAGGAUUCCUCAACAGCCAGGAGGUUGGCUUAGAAGCAGCCAUCCUUUAAAGAUAGCGUAACAGCUCACUGGUCGAGAGUCCUUGCGCCGAAAAUGAUCGGGGCUCAAGUAUAUUACCGAAACUGCGGAUUGGCAUCUUCUUCGGAAGGUGUCAGUGGUAGGAGAGCGUCCAUCUCUGCGAUGAAUCCAAGGCGAGAGCCGCGGUGGAGCGAGGUGGAGUGAGAAUGCCGGCACAAGUAACCGCAAGACGGGUGAGACCCCCGUCCGUCGAAAUACCAAGGUUUCCUUUGCGAUGGUGAUCAUCGAAGGGUUAGUCGGUCCUAAGGGAAUCCCGAAUGGGGGACCCGAUGGAUAGCAGGUUAAUAUUCCUGCACACUGUUAUGUUCCUAUGGAGGGACGGAGAGUUGUACUUGCAGCCCCUUAUUGGAUUGGGGUUGGAGCUAUGAGCGUGUCACAUUAGUAAAUCUAGGUGGCAAUAGCGCGAGUAGAGUCUAGAGGUGAGGCUUCGGCCGAUCUGAUUGUAAGGAGCACUCUUCCGAGAAAAACUUCGUUUGGGUUAAACAUAAUGGUUCCGUACCGCAAACCGACACAGGUGGUAGAGUCGAGAAGACUAAGACGAACGAGUGAGAGGUCCUCAAGGAACUCGGCAAAAAAGCGGCCGUAACUUAGGGAUAAGGCCUGCCCCUAUACUUUCGAGUAUAGGGGCCGCAGCGAAAGAUUUCCUGCCGACUGUUUAUCAAAAACACAGCUCCCUGCAAACACGAAAGUGGAAGUAUAGGGGGUGACGCCUGACCUAUGCCGGAAGGUUAAAUACGGGGGGUGCAAUGUAUUUAUAUGUUGUGCUGGACUGUAUAAGCCCCGGUAAAUGUCAGCGAUAACUAUAAUCGUUCUAAGGUUCAGCGCACUGUCCAAUAAACAGUACGCUGAACGGAUUGGAACGAUUAUAAACGAUAAACAGCCUAGCCACAGUUACCUUGUCUGCUUGAAAAAGUAGACAUAAUCCAAACCAAAUCUACAAGAGACCAACGUUUGGUACCGCAGCAUGUACGCAAGUAUGAUGGUGGUAAAGAUAGAGUCCUAUAUGUGUACAGUGUCGUUCAAGGGCGACCAUAAGAUACUCUUUAUUGAGUAUCGGAAAGAAGGAAUUAUAGAGCGUAUUUCCUUGUCGGGUAAGUUCCGACGUGCACGAAUGGCGUAACGAGUGGGAAACUGUCUCGAGGACCUGCUCGGUGAAAAUACAAUCCCGGUAAAGAUGCCGGGUACCUGCAGUUAGACGAAAAGACCCCAGGAGCUUUACUGUAGCUUCGUAUUGGGGCUGUUGAAUUGAUGCGUAGUAUAGGAAGGAGACUUUGAAGCGGGCUUUUGGGUACCGUGGAGUCGCCAGUGAAAUACUUCCCUUUAUUUUGGCAGUCUCUAACCCGGCGGGUAAAACCCGUCGGAGACAGUGCGUGGCAGGCAGUUUUAGUGGGGCGCUACCCUCCCAAAUUGUAACGGAGGGGUCUCAAGGUUGGUUAAUCGCGAAUGGAAACCGUGAUGAUAGUGUAAUGGCAUAAACCAGCUUGACUGUGAGCCGUAGAUGGCGAACAGAUACGAAAGUAGAGCAUAGUGAACCGAUGGUCCGCGUUAGAUGCGGCCGGAGAUUACCCGAUAAAAGUUACCCUGGGGAUAACAGGCUAGUUGCGCCCAAGCGUCCAUAGCGACGGCGCAGUUCGGCACCUUAAUUUUGAACGUAAAAGUUGCAAAACAUCGGGGUGCCUAUGGUGGCAACACCAUACAAAAAUAAAUUGGCUAUAUGCUGGAAAUCCCAAGCCUAGAAGUAAAGAAAGCAUGCAAGGCCCAAACAGUAAUUCGAAAGAAUAAG
rnacentral:rRNA from 1 species